GAUGAACGCUGGCGGCGUGCCUAAUACAUGCAAGUCGAGCGAACGGACGAGAAGCUUGCUUCUCUGAUGUUAGCGGCGGACGGGUGAGUAACACGUGGAUAACCUACCUAUAAGACUGGGAUAACUUCGGGAAACCGGAGCUAAUACCGGAUAAUAUUUUGAACCGCAUGGUUCAAAAGUGAAAGACGGUCUUGCUGUCACUUAUAGAUGGAUCCGCGCUGCAUUAGCUAGUUGGUAAGGUAACGGCUUACCAAGGCAACGAUGCAUAGCCGACCUGAGAGGGUGAUCGUCCACACUGGAACUGAGACACGGUCCAGACUCCUACGGGAGGCAGCAGUAGGGAAUCUUCCGCAAUGGGCGAAAGCCUGACGGAGCAACGCCGCGUGAGUGAUGAAGGUCUUCGGAUCGUAAAACUCUGUUAUUAGGGAAGAACAUAUGUGUAAGUAACUGUGCACAUCUUGACGGUACCUAAUCAGAAAGCCACGGCUAACUACGUG
rnacentral:rRNA from 1 species